CAAGGCUCCGCGGCCGGAUAUGGGCCUAGCUUCCGGGAUCCGCUCCCUGCGGGGCCGCGCUUAGGGUCGGAGUUCGCUAGUCCAGGGAAAGGGGUGGGAGGGGCCCUCGGAGGGGCCCCUACAAGGGAUCCCAGUCCGCAGAAUUAAAAAUUCGUUCGCAAGGGAGCGCCCUUCCGGGGUCAGGGUCGUGAAGAGACACUCGAGAAUUAGGGUCCUGGACUGCAGUGGGGCCGGGCCUGGACUUCGGGCAGGUGUUUCCUGGCCGCCCUGGGGCCCUGCAGCACCGAGGGCCGCGCUGAUCUCAGGGCUCAGGCGGACGAGGGGCCGCCACAGGCACCUUAGGACCCUGGCGGCCUGAAGGCCUGGGGCCUUCAGGAAAGCCUCGGGCACUCCCAGCGGGGGACCUAGCGCCAGGUCACGAUUCCAUUCGGGGCGGGGAGCUUCUAAGCAGGAGUUGCUGACCAAGGAAAGAGUCUGGACCCGGGACCUCAUCCCUGAGGACCAGACCACGACCUUGGAGCUCAGCUCUCAGUCCUUCCCGGCUAGGGAUGCGGAGGGGUCGGGAGCUCGACGGCUAAGCGGCAGGGAAUCCUGAGUUCCUAGAGAUCUACAGAAAGCAGAAGAACGACACUAGAUGAGACUAGACAGUGACGGCGGAAGGACGGAACCACAUGGAGACUGACACACUUUGCGAGUUGGGACUCAAUUGCAUUUCUUUAAGUCCUUGAUUCCGAAGUUUCCCCGCCCUCCUAUGCAAGAGCGUUUGGGGAAACUAAGUUCCUUAGACUCUUUCAUCCUUGUUAUGUGAGCUCAGGGAGGAAGGCAGACAAUAGCUGCAGCCUAAACACCUGCUAUCUCUCAAUGCAAUAAGAUAUAGACGGUGAUUGGAGUCGUUUCUCUUUUUGCUUCCAGAGGGAGCUCAAACCUGAAGCAUCAAGGUUAUCUUUUUCCAAAGGAUUUGUGUGAACCUAAGUUCGGUACCUGCGACGAGUAAAAACACUUAUUUGACCCUCUAGAGACUCAGCUAGAACUGACUGAGCAAAGGGAAAUCGGGCAAAAGAAAGGGAAGGUACUGAGGAGAAAACGGCAGAUGUUGUUAUCUCCCGCUGAGAGGCGCGGCCGGCGGGGCCGGAUCCUCCGCUUCCCGCGACUGCCGGAGUCGCGCUGGACUAGGCUGACCGCGCAGGGCGGCGAGGCUGGAAGGGAGGUCUCCGCCCGACAAUGCGCAGGUGCCAGAGGAGCCAGGAGGAGUGAGAAGCGCCCUAGACCCGCGGCCUCAAGCGCCAUGCACGUCAAGGGGAAGUGACUCCGGAGUUGUGCCAGGAAGAACACCAAGAACGAGCUGUGCGUUUUUGCGCAGAGAAGUAGUCUUCGCAAGACCGCAGCUCCCUGCCGAAGGCCCAGAAAGGGAGUGCGGGGGAGAGGGCAAACUAUCACUCCCGAGGACUUGGGGCACGACUAUCACACGCAACUGGGAGAUCCUGGAAGACGGAGGAAAAACGAACAAGGGGACAUGGCCCUCACUGCAGUGACAGGGCUUUCCUUCAGUCAGUGGCCACAAUAAAUUUAACCAAGGCUAAAGGAGAUUAAUUUCCCAGCAUAAUCCAAUUAAAAGAUUUCUAAAGUAAUCUUUUGCGAAAAUGAAAAGUGCGCGACUAAA
rnacentral:lncRNA from 1 species